rnacentral:rRNA from 1 species
GUACACUCCUGCGGGAGGCAGCAGUGGGGAAUUUUGGACAAUGGGCGAAAGCCUGAUCCAGCAAUGCCGCGUGAGUGAAGAAGGCCUUCGGGUUGUAAAGCUCUUUUGUCAGGGAAGAAACGGUGAGAGCUAAUAUCUCUUGCUAAUGACGGUACCUGAAGAAUAAGCACCGGCUAACUACGUGCCAGCAGCCGCGGUAAUACGUAGGGUGCAAGCGUUAAUCGGAAUUACUGGGCGUAAAGCGUGCGCAGGCGGUUUUGUAAGUCUGAUGUGAAAUCCCCGGGCUCAACCUGGGAAUUGCAUUGGAGACUGCAAGGCUAGAAUCUGGCAGAGGGGGGUAGAAUUCCACGUGUAGCAGUGAAAUGCGUAGAUAUGUGGAGGAACACCGAUGGCGAAGGCAGCCCCCUGGGUCAAGAUUGACGCUCAUGCACGAAAGCGUGGGGAGCAAACAGGAUUAGAUACCCCAGUAGUCCCA